GAUGAACGCUGGCGGCGUGCCUAAUACAUGCAAGUCGAGCGAACGGACGAGAAGCUUGCUUUUCUGAUGUUAGCGGCGGACGGGUGAGUAACAUGUGGAUAACCUACCUAUAAGACUGGGAUAACUUCGGGAAACCGGAGCUAAUACCGGAUAAUAUUUUGAACCGCAUGGUUCAAAAGUGAAAGACGGUCUUGCUGUCACUUAUAGAUGGAUCCGCGCUGCAUUAGCUAGUUGGUAAGGUAACGGCUUACCAAGGCAACGAUGCAUAGCCGACCUGAGAGGGUGAUCGGCCGCACUGGAGCUGAGACGCGGUCCAGACUCCUACGGGAGGCAGCAGUAGGGAAUCUUCCGCAAUGGGCGAAAGCCUGACGGAGCAACGCCGCGUGAGUGAUGAAGGUCUUCGGAUCGUAAAACUCUGUUAUUAGGGAAGAACAUAUGUGUAAGUAACUGUGCACAUCUUGACGGUACCUAAUCAGAAAGCCACGGCUAACUACGUG
rnacentral:rRNA from 1 species